rnacentral:misc_RNA from 1 species
GAUGAAGAACGUAGCGAAAUGCGAUAAGUAGUGUGAAUUGCAGAAUUCAGUGAAUCAUCGAGUCUUUGAACGCACAUUGCGCCCCAUGGUAUUCCGGGGGGCAUGCCUGUCCGAGCGUCAUUGCUGCCCUCAAGCACGGCUUGUGUGUUGGGCCUCCGUCCUCCUCCCGGGGGACGGGCCCGAAAGGCAGCGGCGGCACCGCGUCCGGUCCUCGAGCGUAUGGGGCUUCGUCACCCGCUCUUGUAGGCCCGGCCGGCGCUUGCCGACACAUCAAUCUUUUUUCCAGGUUGACCUCGGAUCAGGUAGGGAUACCCGCUGAACUUAAGCAUAUCAAUAAGCGGAGGA